rnacentral:rRNA from 1 species
UGGGGAAUAUUGGACAAUGGGCGAAAGCCUGAUCCAGCCAUGCCGCGUGAGUGAUGAAGGCCCUAGGGUUGUAAAGCUCUUUUGUGCGGGCAGAUAAUGACGGUACCGCAAGAAUAAGCCCCGGCUAACUUCGUGCCAGCAGCCGCGGUAAUACGAAGGGGGCUAGCGUUGCUCGGAAUCACUGGGCGUAAAGGGUGCGUAGGCGGGUUUCUAAGUCAGAGGUGAAAGCCUGGAGCUCAACUCCAGAACUGCCUUUGAUACUGGAAGUCUUGAGUAUGGGAGAGGUGAGUGGAACUGCGAGUGUAGAGGUGAAAUUCGUAGAUAUUCGCAAGAACACCAGUGGCGAAGGCGGCCCACUGGCCCAUAACUGACGCUGAGGCACGAAAGCGUGGGGAGCAAACA